GGGAGUUGUAGUCCAGCCCGCGCUACAUGCCAAAGGGCAUACUGCAGGGGUUGGACUACAGCUCCCGGCAGCCCCCGCGCGCGGGCAGCGGGCGGGCGCGAAGCGGAAGUGCGUGAGGGGGAGGUGGUAGGCGCCUGGCUGUUGAGGAGGCCGCGGGCGGAGCGGGGUCCGGUGAGAGUUCAGUCACUUCUAAUAAAGCAGAUUCAGAAGCAAAAUUGAUGGGAGACUCAUUCAAGGUUUGCUUCCUGAUUUCAUAACUGACGGAGCUGAGGCAGUGAAACCUGAUUGUUGCAGGGUGCAAGGUGUGAACCUGCUCAAGCAGGUACAGCUGACGGGUGCUUGCAAAGAUGUCUAAAACUAACAAGUCAAAGUCUGGGUCCCGCUCUUCCCGUUCGAGGUCUGGAUCGAGAUCCCGCUCCCGCUCCUUCUCCAAGUCCCGCUCCCGUUCCCGUUCUGUCUCACGGUCAAGAAAGCGCAGACUCAGUUCUAGGUCCCGUUCCCGAUCGUAUUCUCCAUCUCACAACAGGGAAAGGAACCAUCCGAGAGUCUAUCAAAACCGGGAUUUCCGAGGGCAUAACAGAGGCUACAGGAGACCAUAUUAUUUUCGAGGCCGAAAUCGAGGGUUUUAUCCCUGGGGCCAGUACAACCGAGGAGGAUAUGGCAAUUACAGGUCAAACUGGCAAAACUACCGCCAAGCGUACAGCCCGCGUAGAGGGAGGUCGCGCUCUCGUUCCCCCAAGAGAAGGUCUCCUUCGCCCAGGUCUAGAAGUCAUUCUAGGAAUUCCGAUAAGUCAUCUUCUGAUCGGUCGAGGAGGUCUUCCUCCUCCCGCUCCUCCUCGAAUCACAGCCGAGUGGAGUCUUCUAAGCGGAAAUCUGGAAAGGAGAAGAAGUCCUCUUCCAAGGAUAACCGGGCAUCUCAGCCUGCAGGAGAUAACCAAGGUGAUGAGUCUAAGGAGCAGCCGUUUUCAGGAGCAGUGGCUCAAGAUGUCAAGGCGUCUGAGGGAUCAAAACCGUGGCAGGAGAUGAGCACCUAUGGUACAAGUUCAACCUCAAGAGCUUCUGUGUCUGAGCUUAGCCCGAGGGAACGCAGUCCUGCACUAAAAAGCCCUCUCCAGUCGGUUGUGGUGAGGCGUCGUUCUCCUCGGCCAAGUCCAUUGCAAAAGUCGAGCCCUCCACUCUCCAACCCAUCCCAGAUGAGCUCUGCUUUACAAAGCAGCAGCAGCAGCGGCACCUCCUUUCAGGCAGGUUCUCAUCAGAGUCCCUUUGACCACGGCUCGGCAGGUUUGAGCCCGACCAGGAAGAGCCCUGUGUGUAAAAGUCCAACACCAGUGAGUUCCAUUUACAGUACAUCUCAGAAGGAGGAAACCACAGCUCCUGGAGGAGGAGCCUUCUCCAAAAGGUAUCUGGAAGAGCAGAAGACUGAGAAUGGGAAAGACAAAGAACAGAAAGUAACAAAUGUUGAAAAAGAGAAAAGUAAAGAGAAAGGGAAUUUCUCGGAGGUGGGAUCAGCAGAUGGAAAGGCAAAAUCCGAGUCCUAUGCCUCCAAAGCGGACUCGGAGAAGGGAUACCGCGGCAGCCAGUCGCCCAAGCGCUACAAGUUCCGGGAUGAAUUUGACAAGCUCAAGGCCCCGGAGUUCCACAAGGAAGGCCAUUAUGGCAAAGAGGAAACAGAUGACCAGGAAAAGAAAGACAAGGCAAAGGGCCGAAAAGAUUCGGAAUUUGAGGAAGAGCCCAAAUUUAUGUCUAAAGUUGUAGCAACUUCAAGUAAAAGUCAAGAGGAGGAGAGACCAGGAAAAUGGGAAGGCGUGGUGUUCUUGCCACCCGGAAAAGAGAAGCAAAGGAAACCUGAGGAAAUGGAGGAGGAAAGCUAUUCAGAACGAUCAAAGAAAGAGGAGAGACCAGCAUCCAAGAGAGCUGAACCAGGUCACAGGGGCUUUGUUCCUGAGAAGAAUUUCAGAGUGACCACUUACAAAUCAAGCCAGGAGAAAAGUUCUUCCCCCCCACCAAGGAAGACUUCUGAGGUGAAGGAGAAACCAGGCACCAAAGUAGAAGGGCUAACUCCUGGCAAAUCCUCCUUUUCUAUUACACGUGAGGCCCAGGUCAAUAUCCGAAUGGAUUCCUUCGAUGAAGAUCUUGCACGUCCAAGUGGCAUAUUGGCUCAGGAACGCAAGCUGUGUCGUGACCUGGUGCACAGCAACAAAAAGGAGCAGGAAUUCCGUUCCAUUUUCCAUCAUAUUCAGUCUGCUCAGUCUCAGAGGAGCCCUUCUGAACUGUUUGCUCAGCAUAUAGUGACUAUCGUCCAUCAUGUAAGAGAGCAUCACUUUGGCUCUUCAGGAAUGACACUGAAUGAACGCUUUACCAAAUAUCUAAAGAAAGGAAUGGAACAAGAUGCAGCUAAAAACAAGAAGAGCCCUGAAAUCCACAGGAGGAUAGAUAUAUCUCCCAGUACUUUUAGAAAACAUGGAUUCUCUCAAGAGGAAUCGAAAAGCUCCCGAGAGCCUGGCUUCAAGGCUGAAGGGAAGUAUAAGGAUGACCCUGUUGACCUGCGCCUUGAUAUUGAGCGCCGUAAAAAACAUAAGGAAAGAGAUCUUAAACGGGAUAAAUCCAGAGAAUCGGUGGACUCGAGAGAUUCAAGUCACUCAAGGGAAAGAUCAACUGAGAAAACGGAGAAAAGUCACAAAGGCUCAAAGAAAAAGAAACACCGAAGGGUACGUGAGAGAUCCAGAUCCAGUUCAUCAUCUUCGUGGUCCUCUCAUUCAGUCAAAGCGGAGGAAUAUCCCGAGGAGACUGAGGAGAGGGAGGAAAGCACCACAGGCUUUGACAAGUCCCGACUUGGGACUAAGGAAUUUCCUGGUCCCAAUGAACGAGGAAGAGCUAGAGGGACCUUUUCAAAGCAUACCAUGAAGGAGAAAGCCCAAAGACAUUGUCUGGUUGUGGAUGCUGAGCCAAAUAUGAUUGCUCUGGGUCUGGAGCACAAACCAGGGUGCUGAGAAUAUAGUCUGGGCAGUUGAACUCAAGAUGUAUGGAGCAAAAUGAAGCCUGGAAGCUUUUGUGGAUUAGGAAUUGCUGAGCGCUCUGGAAAUGCCUCUACAUGACUUUAAUCAGCUUUAUAGAAACUGUGAUGCACUGUGUGAUCAGAUGAGCUAGAAAACCCUAAAAUAUACUGACCUCUUAUUUUAAUGAUGGGUUAAAGGUGCUCUUGGAUGGUUAGAGAAGUGAUGAGGUAUCUCCUGGUAGCCCUGGGAGGUCUCUGGGGGUGGGAGGGCAUUGCCACUGCAACCGUUUUACUUUUCUUUCAUGUUUUGCUGUUGCAGCAAUUCAGAGCAAGAGGGAGAGGAUGGGGCAGAGGCAACUUUUCAGGCAACAAUAACAGCAACAGUGGUGGCAACAAUGACUUCCAGAAGAGAAGCAGAGAUGAGGAGUGGGAUCCAGAGUACACGCCGAAGAGCAAGAAGUACUACUUGCACGAUGACCGGGAGGGCGAAGGCGCGGACAAGUGGGUGAACCGCGGCCGUGGUCGAGGUGCCUUCCCCCGAGGAAGAGGCCGCUUCAUGUUCCGGAAGUCGAGCACCAGCCCCAAGUGGGCUCACGACAAAUUCAGUGGAGAAGAAGGAGAAAUCGAAGACGAUGAAAGCGGAACAGAAAACAGAGAGGAAAAGGACAACUUGCAGACGGCAGCUGAGUAGCCGCAGGGUCCGCGCGUUUCCGGGAGCCCUGGCAGGGGGAAGGGGUUCAGGGCUGGAUUGUCAGGGUGAUCCUGACGUGCUGAGCAGAGCCCUGGAGAGGAGCUCGGAAACAAUCCCGAUGUUAACUGCAUUUCCAGAGUUCAGCCUCCCGAAGCGUGGACUAGAACUGAUCAAUCAUUUAUGCUCGGAUCCACUCAUGGAGUUUAUCUUCCCAAAGACUUCCCUUCUGGACUGAGUAAGGUCAAGUACUGGGUGAGAUCAUAGAUUUUUUUCUCUCCUCUGUGACCUUAUUGAAUGGUCAGUUAUUUUCUUGGUAACAGGCUUUGAAGACAACGUGGAUUUUCGUUUGUGCCCAUCUUACCCCAGUAGGCUUGACAUUUUGGGUUCUCUUUUAUAAUUUGAAAUGGCUCUGGUCGGGGUUAACUCACCCUUUCAAGUUCUUUCUCCCCUAUUGUGUAUUCAGUUUUUUAAAUCCAUACUCUUACUUUAGGCCUUUAUGUAGGAACAUCAAUUAAAUGAUAAUUUUGGAAGCUAUUUUUGGUUCUUAUCAAUAAGAAAACAAUGAAGCAUGUGAAUAAACAUCUAAAUGUUAACUCCUUGGGACCAAACUCCGAUGACUUUUCUUUUUUAAACCUUUUUUUUAAAUGUAACUGUUGAGUUUUAGGGCCUUUAAAAAAACAAAAAAACAGACAAUGUUUUCCUUUUAUGUUGAAAGUUAACAAAAUUAGCAUGGUUUAAAGGAAAAAAAAAACCUUCCACCCUACUUCUCACCACUGUUUGUGUGCACUGUUAGGCCUGGUGUGUGCUGGAGCCCCAAACCGCUUGUAGGCAUUUUGUGUAUCCUCUUUGCAGCUGGUGGUGAACUCGAGUGCUCUUCCCAAGGUACCAGAGUUUUCUAAGAAACUUGGGAAUUCUACUGGCUGGAAAAAUAGAAAAGGAGAUGAGAAUUUUUUCAAUAUUUUUUAUUAAUCUUUUUAUAAAAAACAAAGAAAACAAAGACAAACCCCCAAGUCCCUCCUGUGCCGGGCGAGGAUGGCCGAGCCCUGCUUUUCUUUCUCUCUUCUACUUGCCUGUGCUCUGAAGGAGUUUGCCAGGUCAGCCCCUCGCAGCAGGGGAGGCACGUCCCUGCACCCCCGCUGCGUGUGCACGCGCUGUAGGCACCGCUCUCCCUCCCUGCCUUCCCUCCCCACGGAUUGCUGUGCUCUUCUCCCCGCACACACCAACUAGAGUUUGGUUUGUUUUGACUUGAACAGUUCCUGUUUAGCAAAGCCCUCCCGUUUGUUUAUGCCAAUAAAAUACAAUAAAAUAAG